AGCUAGAUCCCAGGUGGUGGUUUUUUACUAACCCCGCCAGGUCCGGAAGGAAGCAACGGUCGUGAUUCAAUCAGGUGCUUGGUCAAUCUAGCUAUC
rnacentral:SRP_RNA from 1 species